GUUGAACUCUGGCGGAAGGCCUAACACAUGCAAGUCGAACGAGUGGCGGACGGGUGAGUAAUGUCUGGGAAACUGCCCGAUGGAGGGGGAUAACUACUGGAAACGGUAGCUAAUACCGCAUACCAUCGGAUGUGCCCAGAUGGGAUUAGCUAGUAGGUGGGGUACCGGCUCACCUAGGCGACGAUCCCUAGCUGGUCUGAGAGGAUGCCCAGCCACACUGGAACUGAGACACGGUCCAGACUCCUACGGGAGGCAGCAGUGGGGAAUAUUGCACAAUGGGCGAAAGCCUGAUGCAGCCAUGCCGCGUGGAUGAAGAAGGCCUUCGGGUUGUAAAGUACUUUCAGCGAGGAGGCGGUACCCGCAGAAGAAGCACCGGCUAACUACGUGCCAGCAGCCGCGGUAAUUC
rnacentral:rRNA from 1 species